UAUGAAGAACGCAGCGAAAUGCGAUAAGUAGUGUGAAUUGCAGAAUUCAGUGAAUCAUCGAAUCUUUGAACGCACAUUGCGCCCCUUGGUAUUCCAUGGGGCAUGCCUGUUCGAGCGUCAUUUGUACCUUCAAGCUCUGCUUGGUGUUGGGUGUUUGUCUCGCCUCUGCGUGUAGACUCGCCUUAAAACAAUUGGCAGCCGGCGUAUUGAUUUCGGAGCGCAGUACAUCUCGCGCUUUGCACUCAUAACGACGACGUCCAAAAGUACAUUUUUACACUCUUGACCUCGGAUCAGGUAGGGAUACCCGCUGAACUUAAGCAUAUCAAUAAGCGGAGGA
rnacentral:misc_RNA from 1 species